rnacentral:lncRNA from 1 species
GAAUACUUAAACGCUAGUGAUGCCGCAGGGUUACUUGCCAGCAUUGCCGAUCUGGUGGUUUCCACUGCAGACCUUACAUUACACAAUACUAUAGAAAUAAACAAUACGAUAGAAGUGAACAAUACGAUACCUUGUCCUAAAAUGCUUGAAAUCAAACGCGUUGGACAUUAUGCAACCUUGUUACUUAACAGAUUAUGCGUUCAAUAAAUGUGUGCCGUCGAGUAGCCGAAGCGUCUAUUGUAGGGUGAAACCAGGAUGAAGAAGGGUGUUAUCGUCCUCUGAAUUGCUUAUCAACCGCUACCUAUAACUUUCUGCCAGUGCAAAGUCUCAUAUUGCCAUCCACAGCUACUAAGUAUGAGCAAGUUUUCUUGCUUCAACAUUCUACUCGUGUUUGCUGCCUUCGCCUUUCUUCUGUACAUACCAGAAAAGGGAGGAAAUCCAGUAGCGCUUGCAUUUCCGAGCCCUGCGCCCUAUCCAAGUGGUAGGCAAGGGGGACAAAACCGGCCACUGCCUGGAGGCAGGUACCAGCAGGGGCAACGGCAAGGGCCGGGUGGAGCACACCUAGUGAGGAAUCAAGGAGGAGGACAACACCCACGUCCUACACCAGGGCCGAGGGUUCGAAACCACGGUGGAUAAAACAAAAACAGCUAUUGCAGUUGAACUAUAAGCUAAAUCUCACGAGGAAGAGGGAUGACGAUCACCACGAAAGCUCACAAGGCAGCAGG